UAUAAAGGGUGAUUUUUUAAGAGCUUGAUAACUUUUUUAAAAAAAAAAACGCAUAAAAUUUGCAAAAUCUCAUCGGUUCUUUAUUUGAAGCGUUAGAUUGGUUCAUGACAUUUACUUUUUGAAGAUAAUUUCAUUUAAAUGUUGACCGCGGCUGCGUCUUAGGUGGUCCAUUCGGAAAGUCCAAUUUUGGGCAACUUUUUCGAGCAUUUCGGCCGGAAUAGCCCGAAUUUCUUCGGAAAUGUUGUCUUCCAAAGCUGGAAUAGUUGCUGGCUUAUUUCUGUAGAGUUUAGACUUGACGUAGCCCCACAAAAAAUAGUCUAAAGGCGUUAAAUCGCAUGAUCUUGGUGGCCAACUUACGGGUCCAUUUCUUGAGAUGAAUUGUUGUCCGAAGUUUUCCCUCAAAAUGGCCAUAGAAUCGCGAGCUGUGUGGCAUGUAGCGCCAUCUUGUUGAAACCACAUGUCAACCAAGUUCAGUUCUUCCAUUUUUGGCAACAAAAAGUUUGUUAGCAUCGAACGAUAGCGAUCGCCAUUCACCGUAACGUUGCGUCCAACAGCAUCUUUGAAAAAAUACGGUCCAAUGAUUCCACCAGCGUACAAACCACACCAAACAGUGCAUUUUUCGGGAUGCAUGGGCAGUUCUUGAACGGCUUCUGGUUGCUCUUCACCCCAAAUGCGGCAAUUUUGCUUAUUUACGUAGCCAUUCAACCAGAAAUGAGCCUCAUCGCUGAACAAAAUUUGUCCGAAAAAAAAAAAACCGAACACUGAUUUUGGUAAUAAAAUUCAAUGAUUUGCAAGCGUUGCUCGUUAGUAAGUCUAUUCAUGAUGAAAUGUCAAAGCAUACUGAGCAUCUUUCUCUUUGACACCAUGUCUGAAAUCCCACGUGAUCUGUCAAAUACUAAUGCAUGAAAAUCCUAACCUCAAAAAAAUCACCCGUUAUUAAGGAGUAGAAUCCAUUUUUUAGUACAUAUACAUUAAGCACUCGAUACCAAGUUGCGUAAAAAUAUGAACUAUACAUAUUUAUGCUAAUUAACCCGUUUGAGGUUAGUGGAGAUGUCAUAUAGCCGUAACGAUAGUGUAUUUGGAAAAAUUUCACAAUCUUAUAUUAAGGUGUAGAAUCGAUUUUUUAGUACAUAUAUAUUAAGCACUCGAUACCAAGUUGCGUAAAAAUAUGAACUAUAUAUAUUUAUGCUAAUUAACCGUUUUGAGGUUAUUGGAGUUGUCAUAUAGCCAUAACGACAGUGUAUUUGGAAAAAUUUCACAAUCUUAUAUUAAGGUGUAGAAUCGAUUUUGUAGUACAUAUGCACUAAGCACUCGAUACCAAGUUGCGUAAAAAUAUGAACUAUAUAUAUUUAUGCUAAUUAACCGUUUUGAGGUUAUUGGAGUUGUCAUAUAGCCAUAACGACAGUGUAUUUGGAAAAAUUGUACAAUAUUAUAUUAAGGCGUAGAAUCGAUUUUUUAGUACACAUGCACUUAGUAACCGAUACCAAGUUGCGUAAAAAUAUGAACUAUACAUAUUUAUGCUAAUUAACCGUUUUGAGGUUAUUGGAGUUGUCAUAUAGCCGUAACGACAGUGUAUUUGGAAAAAUUUCACAAUAUUACAUUAAGGCGUAGAAUCGAUUUUUUAGUACACAUGCACUACGCAAUCGAUACCAAGUUGCGUCAAAAUAUGAACUAUACAUAUUUAUGCUAAUUAGGUGUUUUGAGGUUAUUGGAGUUGUCAUAUAGCCAUAACGACAGUGUAUUUGGAAAAAUUUCACAAUCUUAUAUUAAGGUGUAGAAUCGAUUUUUUAGUACAUAUGCACUAAGCAAUCUAUACCAAGCUGCGUAAAAAUAUGAACUAUACAUAUUUAUGCUAAUUAACCGUUUUGAGGUUAUUGGAGUUGUCAUAUAGCCAUAACGACAGUGUAUUUGGAAAAAUUUCACAAUCUUAUAUUAAGUUGUAGAAUCGAUUUUGUAGUACAUAUGCACUAAGUAGCCGAUACCAAGUUGCGUAAAAAUAUGAACUAUAUAUAUUUAUGCUAAUUAACCGUUUUGAGGUUAUUGGAGUUGUCAUAUAGCCAUAACGACAGUGUAUUUGGAAAAAUUUCACAAUAUUACAUUAAGGCGUAGAAUCGAUUUUUUAGUACACAUGCACUUAGUAACCGAUACCAAGUUGCGUAAAAAUAUGAACUAUACAUAUUUAUGCUAAUUAACCGUUUUGAGGUUAUUGGAGUUGUCAUAUAGCCGUAACGACAGUGUAUUUGGAAAAAUUUCACAAUCUUAUAUUAAGGCGUAGAAUCGAUUUUUUAGUACACAUGCACUACGCAAUCGAUACCAAGUUGCGUAAAAAUAUGAACUAUACAUAUUUAUGCUAAUUAGGUGUUUUGAGGUUAUUGGAGUUGUCAUAUAGCCAUAACAACAGUGUAUUUGGAGAAAUUUCACAAUCUUAUAUUAAGGCGUAGAAUCGAUAUUUUAGUACACAUGCACUAAGCAAUCGAUACCAAGUUGCGUAAAAAUAUGAACUAAACAUAUUUAUGCUAAUUAACCGGUUUGAGGUUAUUGGAGUUGUCAUAUAGCCAUAAAGACAGUGUAUUUGGAAAAAUUUCACAAUCUUAUAUUAAGGCGUAGAAUCGAUAUUUUAGUACACAUGCACUAAGCAAUCGAUACCAAGUUGCGUAAAAAUAUGAACUAUACAUAUUUAUGCUAAUUAACCGUUUUGAGGUUAUUGGAGUUGUCAUAUAGCCAUAACGACAGUGUAUUUGGAAAAAUUUCACAAUCUUAUAUUAAGGUGUAGAAUCGAUUUUUUAGUACAUAUGCACUAAGCACUCGAUACCAAGUUGCGUAAAAAUAUGAACUAUACAUA